UACGUAGGGGGCGAGCGUUGUCCGGAGUUACUGGGCGUAAAGCGUGCGCAGGCGGCUCAUUGCGCCCGGCGUGAAAGCCCCCGGCUCAACCGGGGAGGGUCGUCGGGGACGGGUGAGCUUGAGGGUAUCAGGGGUUGGUGGAAUUCCCGGUGUAGUGGUGAAAUGCGUAGAGAUCGGGAGGAACACCCGUGGCGAAGGCGGCCAACUGGGAUACACCUGACGCUGAGGCACGAAGGCGUGGGGAGCGAACGGG
rnacentral:rRNA from 1 species